AGAAAAGCCACUUUAUUCCGGCUUCAUAGCCCAGCCGGCCAUUUCCAGCGGAUCCCGGUGCAGGGAGGUGCCCAGUCGCAGUCCCUGGCGCUCAGCUCUCUUCUUCUUCCUCUUCCUCCUCCUCCUCUUCAUCCUCCUCAUCCUCAUCUGAGCUGAAGGUGCCAUCAGGCAAGCUGUAGAUUCGGAUCACCUGUUUGUUGGGGUCUUUGAGGAUGAGGUACUUCCCCUCAUCCAGCUUCAUGCAGAUGUCGAUGACGCAGCGCAAGAUGCCCCAGGCAUUCUCUAUGCUCAGGUUGAUCUGGCUGGCAAACUCGUUGGGCUUAAACUGCUGCGUGCCCAGAAUCACAUGGCGGGCAGAGUCCUUCACAUGGUAACGGGACACGUAACCAAGCUUGAGAUAUUCUGAUCCGGCCAGCAGUGCACAACAUGUCCAACGAGCUAAUUUGUAGCUGUUGUUUUUCAGCUCUGUGGCGAUCACAGCUCCUCUCUGCGAGUCAAGCUUCUGGCGCCAGUCUACUCCAUUGCAAUACCUGGAAUCCCAUUCGUUCAGAGUUUUGAUGUUGAUGAAUGACACUUCGCCGUUAGCUCCUGUCAUCACUCCGUCAUGCUCACAGCGGACGAUGAGAUCUAUGUCAUCUCCCAGCUUCCACCUUCGGUACCUGUAGGCAACAGAAGCUACUUCGUUCUUAUCCAUGUCAUCCUCCACAAAGGGGUUUGGGUUGGGAAACUUGUAUUUCUCCUUCCCCAUCCUCAGACACUGCUGGGAGAAGUUAUGGUUGAUGUAAGUUGCUUCCAUGGCAAGGUUGCGUGGGGAAUUAAAGGAGUUGCCCUCUUCCUGUGGUGGUUCAUUAGCUGUUUCACUCACUGUCAGUAGAUCAAAAUCUGAAUUGUCCCUCUUGUCAAAGAAGAGCUUGGAUCCAACUCUCUGGACAAUGAUGUCCCAGGAAUACACAGAGCGAGUGCAACUCAUCAGUGUGGCCAGGAUGGCAUCUGUGGCAAACACAUUCCCUUGAGUCUUGGCCAGCUUUCGGAUAACUGGGUCAUCAGUAGUAGUGACCGUAUGGAAGAUGCGCUUAAUGCUCCUCAGCAGCUUCUCAUUCCUCGUUGUAAUGCGGUCAAAGGCUUUGUCAUAGUAUUCUAGGGCUCCACAGCACUCUAUGUCCUGUGGCUCUGACACCUCCAGGUAGCGCAUCUUCAUCAGUCGUGGGAAAUCCAUCUCUUCUUUCACCUCCCAGUCACUGCGAACUUCCACAGAGGAGUCACGAGGCUUCUGCUGUGACUUCUGGUCCCACUUCUGCCUCACUCCAAACUGCUUCUGAAACUUCUUCUGGAGACGCAAACGAUCCCUCUCUUUCUGCUUGGCACUCUUUGGCAGUGUCUGCAUGCUGAACUGCAGCAUGUUCCGGCGGUCCUUGUCCCUCCGAAGGUUCCUCUGUGCAAAUCGCAUGCGAUUCCUCUGGUAUGCAGUUUUCUGUGUCCGUGCUGUAUCCACCAACUGGAAGCUGGUCUCAUCCUCCUCAUGGAAAUACGCAUAUUGACUUCCACCACCAAACUGUGAUGAGUACUUGUUUGUAUAUCUCUUAUCCUGGUACGUGGCUCCUGUCCAAUCCGCCACCUUGCCCAGGCGGUCUCCCUUGCUGAAGGGCUGGUAGGGCAUAUCCUUGAACUGCUCGGGCACGGCGCACGGGCCCCAGCCCGAGGGAUUGUCCUGGAUCACGGGGGUCACGAACUUCGCCAUGGCUCACGGCUCUGCGCGGCCACGUUACGGCCCCGAUGACGACGGAUACGGCAGCGACGGCGGCGGUGGCCGGCGAGGAAAGGCCGCGCGCAGCCCCGUCCCGGCCUUAUGACGUCAACACUGCGCGACGGUGCGCCGCCGAGCGCCACUGUCGUAAAAGAGAAGGCGCGAGGAGUGGGACACGACUGCCGUAAAGCGCGGAUCUCCCAGCAGGCGCAGUGCGCCUCGCUGACGUCACCGCCGCCAUCGAACUGCAGGGGGCGUGGAUAGCAGUGGUGAUCUGUGUUGUCCCCAAAGCGCUUCCUUGCCCUGGUGGCAGGGGAUGUGGGCUGUGGGUUCGACCCUACAGCCCUAUGAGGAGGCCGUGAGCAGGGCACUAAAUGCAGUGUGUGCCUCACAUAGGGUCAUUAAGGUUGGGACAGACCUCUGAGGUGACCUGGUCCAGCCACCAGCCCGCCCCCACCGUGCCCACUGACCACGUCCUCAGUGCCACAUCCACACGGCUCUGGAACACCUCCAGGGAUGGUGACUCCACCACCUCCCCUGUGCAGCCUCUGCCACUGCAGCACCGCUCUUACUGAGAAUAAGUGUUUCCUAAUAUCCAUCCUGAAAGUCCCCUGGUGCUACUUGAGGCCACUCCCUCUCACCCUAUCACUGUUACCUGGGAGCAGAGGCCGACCCUCACCUCACCACAGCCUCCUUUCAGGUCAUUGUAGAGAGUGAUGAGGUCUCCCCUGAGCUCCUCAGACUGAACAACCCCAGUUCCCUGGGAGAGUAUUUCUCCCCACAUUGCAAGGGGAAAAAGGUAAAAACCCAGCAGCAAAUCUCAGACGUUCACAUAUCACAGAGCCCAGAAUUGUCCCCUCCCUUCAGAAGAGCAACAUCCAGUUUAGAGAAGCCUGCAGCUCGCAGCUGUUUGCAGAAUUUCCCUGGGUAUCUCUCACCUCAGAGCCCAGAUCAAUAUUUUCCAGGCAGAGCAGUGUGCAUUUCCUCCUUUAUUUACUGCGUUUAAAUCCUCCUCGAGAAAUUACCAAGACAGUCUGCUUUGCCAGGAGGCCGCGCCAUUAAUCAGAAGCUGGAUUAUUAAAGCAGUUUUCCCUGCUAGCAAAAAGAAAAAUCCACUUACAGAAACGCG
rnacentral:lncRNA from 1 species